rnacentral:rRNA from 1 species
UAGGGAAUUUUCCACAAUGGACGAAAGUCUGAUGGAGCAACGCCGCGUGAACGAUGAAGGUCUUCGGAUUGUAAAGUUCUGUUGUCAGGGACGAACACGUACCGUUCGAAUAGGGCGGUACCUUGACGGUACCUGACUAGAAAGCCACGGCUAACUACGUGCCAGC